rnacentral:rRNA from 1 species
CCUACGGGGGGCAGCAGCUAAGAAUCUUCCGCAAUGGACGAAAGUCUGACGGAGCGACGCCGUGUGAAUGAAGAAGGCCGAAAGGUUGUAAAAUUCUUUUGCAGAUGAAGAAUAAUCAUAGGAGGGAAUGCCUGUGAGAUGACGGUAGUCAUGCGAAUAAGCCCCGGCUAAUUACGUGCCAGCAGCCGCGGUAACACGUAAGGGGCGAGCGUUGUUCGGAAUUAUUGGGCGUAAAGGGCAUGUAGGCGGUUUGGUAAGCCUGGUGUGAAAUCUACGAGCUUAACUCGUAAACUGCAUUGGGUACUGCUAAACUGGAAUCACAGAGGGGAAAUCGGAAUUCCAAGUGUAGGGGUGGAAUCUGUAGAUAUUUGGAAGAACACCGGUGGCGAAGGCGGGUUUCUG